rnacentral:rRNA from 1 species
GAUGAACGCUAGCUACAGGCUUAACACAUGCAAGUCGAGGGACCGGCGCACGGGUGAGUAACACGUAUCCAACCUGGCCUUUACUCGGGGAUAGCCUUUCGAAAGAAAGAUUAAUACCCGAUGUAAAGUAUGGGGAUGGUGUCGAUUAGGUUGUUGGUGAGGUAACGGCUCACCAAGCCUUCGAUGGAUAGGGGUUCUGAGAGGAAGGUCCCCCACAUGGGAACUGAGACACGGUCCAAACUCCUACGUGAGGCAGCAGUGAUGAAUAUUGUUCAAUGGGCGUUAGCCUGAACCAGCCAAGUAGCUUGAAGGAUGAAGGCUUAUGGGUCGUAAACUUCUUUUAUAUAAGAAUAUGUAUUAUAUGAAUAAGGAUCGGCUAACUCCGUGCCAGCAGCCGCGGUAAUUC